AAACAAUGCUUUUUUUAAAAUAUAUUUUGUGUUUUGUAAUUAUUAACAUAGGCUGUUGUCUAGAGCAACAAGUGAUGAAGAUUGAGUUGUUACAACUUCUGUGAUAUUUCAAAGAUUACUGAAUAACUUUCUAGACUUUAAACAAUGCUUUUAAUGCGUAACUAAUUAUACCAACAUCAGAAGCCAAUCACUGAAUCUGUUUUCUUCCUUUUCUUUUUUUUCUGUUGACCUCGUAUAUCUAUUUUAUCCCUGACCAGAGCAUUAUCAACCUCUAAGACCAGAUGGCCGUUCACGCCCACCUGCAUCCGCGGAAUAUAAGUGUCUUCCAUCUGAAUGGACAGGUAAGUUUAAAAGUGUUUUUUU
ensembl:lncRNA